rnacentral:rRNA from 1 species
GAUGAACGCUGGCGGCGUGCCUAAUACAUGCAAGUCGAGCGAACGGACGAGAAGCUUGCUUCUCUGAUGUUAGCGGCGGACGGGUGAGUAACACGUGGAUAACCUACCUAUAAGACUGGGAUAACUUCGGGAAACCGGAGCUAAUACCGGAUAAUAUUUUGAACCGCAUGGUUCAAAAGUGAAAGACGGUCUUGCUGUCACUUAUAGAUGGAUCCGCGCUGCAUUAGCUAGUUGGUAAGGUAACGGCUUACCAAGGCAACGAUGCAUAGCCGACCUGAGAGGGUGAUCGGCCACACUGGAACUGAGACACGGUCCAGACUCCUACGGGAGGCAGCAGUAGGGAAUCUUCCGCAAUGGGCGAAAGCCUGACGGAGCAACGCCGCGUGAGUGAUGAAGGUCUUCGGAUCGUAAAACUCUGUUAUUAGGGAAGAACAUAUGUGUAAGUAACUGUGCACAUCUUGACGGUACCUAAUCAGAAAGCCACGGCUAACUACGUGCCAGCAGCCGCGGUAAUACGUAGGUGGCAAGCGUUAUCCGGAAUUAUUGGGCGUAAAGCGCGCGUAGGUGGUUUUUUAAGUCUGAUGUGAAAGCCCACGGCUCAACCGUGGAGGGUCAUUGGAAACUGGAAAACUUGAGUGCAGAAGAGGAAAGUGGAAUUCCAUGUGUAGCGGUGAAAUGCGCAGAGAUAUGGAGGAACACCAGUGGCGAAGGCGACUUUCUGGUCUGUAACUGACGCUGAUGUGCGAAAGCGUGGGGAUCAAACAGGAUUAGAUACCCUGGUAGUCCACGCCGUAAACGAUGAGUGCUAAGUGUUAGGGGGUUUCCGCCCCUUAGUGCUGCAGCUAACGCAUUAAGCACUCCGCCUGGGGAGUACGACCGCAAGGUUGAAACUCAAAGGAAUUGACGGGGACCCGCACAAGCGGUGGAGCAUGUGGUUUAAUUCGAAGCAACGCGAAGAACCUUACCAAAUCUUGACAUCCUUUGACAACUCUAGAGAUAGAGCCUUCCCCUUCGGGGGACAAAGUGACAGGUAGUGCAUGGUUGUCGUCAGCUCGUGUCGUGAGAUGUUGGGUUAAGUCCCGCAACGAGCGCAACCCUUAAGCUUAGUUGCCAUCAUUAAGUUGGGCACUCUAAGUUGACUGCCGGUGACAAACCGGAGGAAGGUGGGGAUGACGUCAAAUCAUCAUGCCCCUUAUGAUUUGGGCUACACACGUGCUACAAUGGACAAUACAAAGGGCAGCGAAACCGCGAGGUCAAGCAAAUCCCAUAAAGUUGUUCUCAGUUCGGAUUGUAGUCUGCAACUCGACUACAUGAAGCUGGAAUCGCUAGUAAUCGUAGAUCAGCAUGCUACGGUGAAUACGUUCCCGGGUCU